UACGGAGGAUGCAAGCGUUAUCCGGAAUGAUUGGGCGUAAAGCGUCCGCAGGUGGCUGUGUAAGUCUGCUGUUAAAUAGUGAGGCUCAACCUCAUAAAGGCAGUGGAAACUACACGGCUAGAGUGCGUUCGGGGCAGAGGGAAUUCCUGGUGUAGCGGUGAAAUGCGUAGAGAUCAGGAAGAACACCGGUGGCGAAAGCACUCUGCUGGGCCGACACUGACACUGAGAGACGAAAGCUAGGGGAGCGAAUGGG
rnacentral:rRNA from 1 species